GACGGAGGGUGCUAGCGUUGUUCGGAAUUACUGGGCGUAAAGGGCGCGUAGGCGGCCGCUUGCGUCGGAUGUGAAAGCCCGGGGCUCAACCCCGGAACGGCAUCCGAUACGGGGCGGCUGGAGACCGGGAGAGGAGGGUGGAAUAGCCAGUGUAGAGGUGAAAUUCGUAGAUAUUGGCUGGAACACCGGUGGCGAAAGCGGCUCUCUGGGACGGUACUGACGCUGAGACGCGAAAGCGUGGGGAGCGAACAGG
rnacentral:rRNA from 1 species